rnacentral:tRNA from 1 species
CAGAGAAUAGUUUAAUAAAAAUAAUAAUUUUGGAGAUUAUUGAUAAAGAAUCUUACUUUUUCUCUGA